UACGAAGGGGGCUAGCGUUGUUCGGAUUAACUGGGCGUAAAGGGUGCGUAGGCGGGUUUUUAAGUCAGGGGUGAAAUCCCGAGGCUCAACCUCGGAACUGCCUUUGAUACUGGAAAUCUUGAGUCUGGGAGAAGUGAGUGGAACUGCGAGUGUAGAGGUGAAAUUCGUAGAUAUUCGCAAGAACACCAGUGGCGAAGGCGGCUCACUGGCCCGGUACUGACGCUGAGGCACGAAAGCGUGGGGAGCAAACAGG
rnacentral:rRNA from 1 species